CAUUAUGAAGCUAAUCACAGCAUUAACCUUUUAAGUUAAAGAUUAGGGGCUCAAAUCCCCUCAUAAUGA
rnacentral:tRNA from 1 species